UAAGUCAAACUCGAGUCACACUUGCACCUUAUUGGACAAUAUUAGCCAUAACAAUUUUACAACAAAAAUCAAUAACAGUGACAUGUUUUUAAACCUUUUUAACUUAAUAAAAGUAAGUGUGUCUUCUCACAAAGUCGCGGUGACUUCUCGGUACAUUCCAAUCUGAUUUACUCAAAGCAACAUAACAAGAACAUACAACUAUAUCUAUUUUGCCAUUUCUUUUAUACAGUGUAUGAACAAAAAACUUACAAUUACCUAGCUCAACUCUUUGAGUCACUUUAGAAAUGAUUGUGAAAGUUGGAAGUAUUGGAAAGCAGCUGUUCUGAUGACUUUUCUACUGACGUCUGUACGCCAGACGUUGCCAUUCGCUUACGUUGACAGUUCUUGGAUUACAUGAUAUUUAUUCCUUGACACAAUCCGCGACAUCUAUCGGCAAAUAUGUGAAGCAAAAUCAUAUGUCAACUAUUUGGUGAUCCGCCAUUUUUAAUGUUUAUGUUUUUGUACUUGGCGUUGGCGGUAUGGUCGAUUUUGGAAUAAACGAGUGAAUUUGUGAAAAGACCUGCGACGUGCUCAUAUUUUGUUAUUCUUUGGCGUCGUGAAAGUGAUAUUUUGCAUGCGAUGUCAACACUUUCAGAUUCUUUACUGUGUUUUCAGCAUUGCAGUAAAAUUAAUGUGUUCUGCUUUACCAUACCCAACAAUUGUCCAGCAUGUGAAAAUGAGUUGUCUAAUACAGAUUUGCCCAUACCACCUUUUCGGUAAAGUUAAUUCUUUGUUUCCUUAAACUUCCAAGUCCUCUAACAUCAGAAGCUAAAAAUUUUAGUCUUUUGAUAAAGCCAACAUUUGGAAAUUUCACCAGAGAUUUCAAAAGAGGUGAUGUGCUGCAUAUUGCUCUUUCAAAUUCAGAGAGCAAAAUAUUUGAAUUCAAUGAAAAUGGAAUAAGCUCCUCUAGUUUUGGUUCCUAUUUGAACUGGACAAAUUUUCUUUCUGUCAGCCUUGCCACAUUACCUUACGCAUUUUCGGAAUUAGAUAAAGUUUUGGAAAAUACCAUUACCAUGGAUACUUGGGCGGCAGAAAGAUAUGAUGAAGUUAACAACAAUUGUUUCGACUACGUGAUAUCCGUGUUAAAUGCGGCCAAUAACAAUUCCAAUUCCAAGUUGACAAAAAUUCAAUUAACACAAGAGAUCAUCUCCCCAGCUAUUAACAGAACCAUCCGCUUACUUUCUAUCGUUAGAAAUGUAUCGCAAAACGGUUUCUUUCUCCAAGGCAACCAUUUUGAAGAGCCUUAAAUAACCAGUUGAUGUCUACUGCCACGAUAUUUGAUGUAUAUUGAAUAAACGAAUUCUGAUUUUUUUUUU